rnacentral:rRNA from 1 species
UGCAGUCGACGGACUUAACCGAAAUAUUUAUAUUUUGGAGCGGUUAGUGGCGGACUGGUGAGUAACGCGUAAGCAAUCUGCCUAUUAGAGGGGAAUAACAGUGAGAAAUCACUGCUAAUACCGCAUAUGCCAUGAACAUCGCAUGAUGAAAAUGGGAAAGGAGUAAUCCGCUAAUAGAUGAGCUUGCGUCUGAUUAACUAGUUGGUGUGGUAAUGGCAUACCAAGGUAACGAUCAGUAGCCGGACUGAGAGGUUGAACGGCCACAUUGGGACUGAGAUACGGCCCAGACUCCUACGGGAGGCAGCAGUCGGGAAUAUUGCGCAAUGGAGGAAACUCUGACGCAGUGACGCCGCGUAUAGGAUGAAGGUUUUCGGAUUGUAAACUAUUGUCAUUAGGGAAGAUAAAAGACAGUACCUAAGGAGGAAGCUCCGGCUAACUACGUGCCAGCAGCCGCGGUAAUACGUAGGGAGCAAGCGUUAUCCGGAUUUAUUGGGUGUAAAGG